ensembl:lncRNA
CCCCCCUCUCCCCCUCUCCCUCUGUAGUGCUGGAUGACCCUCUACCAGCUGCUCUGCUGUAUAUACGGCUGCCUUCAUUUGAGAGACCAACAGUACACAAUAGUGCAUCUGAUCUUGCCCAGACUUCCUAAGUAUUUCUGAUUCUGAUAUUACAUCUAGUUGUUCAAGCCUAACUAGUUCCUUGGGUUUCAUUUCAACGGUUGUAACUUUGGACCACUCUCAAACCAAACCCUGCCCAUCCUAUAUCCAUGGUGGUUUUCUUCCUUGAAUAUAAAACUCUGUUUACAAGGUAUAUGUCAUCCUUAGGGAGACAGUGUUGUCUAUGAAAGCUGCUUUUUCCACCUCACGGUGUGUUGACUUAUUAACUAUGAAAACGUAUUAACAUGAAACCUGCUGUUGCUUUUUUAUACUGUAUAUGCCUUAAUUCAUAUGUUUGGCAAUCAUGAUUAAAGAAUGUUUAUAUAUAGCCUCUCUUAGUUGAGCACUGAACCAAUCCUCUUGUCAGAAGUCAAAGAAAAAGUGUAUUUAGAUAUAAGUUAAAUAAUGUAUCCCGCAGGAAGUGGUCUGGUUUAUGUAGUUAGAUUUCUGGUUGAUUAACUAUUUUCUAGAGUUCAUUAAUCCACUUAAUAGUUACCAAACUGGUUUUAGGAGAAGCAAAUCCACAAAUUAUGCUCUGGUUAAAGUUUGCAAUGAAAUUGAAAAGUCUUUAAUAAUGAAAGAAGUAAUGGUGGCAGUUUUCCUGGAUAUUGAGAAAGCCUAUGACACUAUGUGGAGAGAAGAUGUGCAGAUUACACUAGGAAAAUUGGGAAUUAAUGGGAAAAUGUAUAAUUACAUGCUUGAUUUUCUCUCUCAACUGUCCAUCAGGAUUAAAGUAGGUGAUGCAGUAUGUAAUGAGUUUAUUGUUGAAAAUGGUAUCCCUCAAGGGAGUGUUAUUAGUCUCAUCUCGUUCAACAUAAUGGUUAAUGACAUACAUGACAAACUGGGAGAGAAUAAUGAAGGCCUAUUAUGAAGGCCAGAUGAUGCUGUGAUUUGGAGAAGAG